UCAUUCUCUCCUCAUUAUCAACCAAGUGGGACGCAAACCGAGACAACUCGGCAAACUUAGCUUCGUACUGUGCCACGGUCAUAUUGUUUUUCUCAAGCUUGAUGAACUCUACCUCCUUCAUGUGACGAAUACUUUCAGGAAAGUACUUGUCGUUGAACAGUUCUUGGAACUUCUCCCAAGACAUCUUCAGUGCGGCAGGUUGAGUACGCUUUAC
rnacentral:lncRNA from 1 species